UACGUAGGGUCCAAGCGUUAUCCGGAAUCACUGGGCGUAAAGCGUGCGUAGGUGGCGCGUUAAGUGAGAUGUUAAAUCGUGUGGCUCAACCAUAUCGAUGCAUCUCAUACUGGCGUGCUAGAGGACAGCAGAGGCAAGUGGGAUUUGUAGUGUAGCAGUGAAAUUCGUAGAUAUUGGGAAGAACACCGGUGGCGAAGGCGGCCAUCUGGACCGCAACUGACGCUGAGGCGCGAAAGCAUGGGGAGCGAACAGG
rnacentral:rRNA from 1 species